rnacentral:rRNA from 1 species
AACGAACGCUGGCGGCAUGCCUAACACAUGCAAGUCGAACGAAACGUCCCUGUCUAGUUGCGCUUGGCUGCGUACCGCCUGGGAAGCUGCCCUUAGGUUCGGAACCACUCCCCGUAAGGUGACCUAAUACAGGUUAAUGUACUCGGACCAAGGAUCUAUUGCCUCGGGAUGGGGGCGCGUUGGUUUCGCCGGUUGGUAGGGUAAAAGCCUGCCAAGGCGUCGUUGCAUAGCUGGUCUGUUAGGAAGAUCAGCCCCACUGGGACUGAGACGCGGCCCAGACUCCUACGGGAGGGAGGAGUGGGGAAUAUUGGACAAUGGGCGAAAGCCUGAUCCAGCAAUGCCGCGUGAGUGAUGAAGGCCUUAGGGUUGUAAAGCUCUUUUACCCGGGAUGAUAAUGACGGUACCGGGAGAAUAAGCACCGGCUAACUACGUG